AGAGUUUGAUCUUGGCUCAGGACGAACGCUGGCGGCGUGCUUAACACAUGCAAGUUGAACGGAGUUUAAGAGGAAGCUUGCGAAUCUUAAACUUAGUGGCGGACGGGUGAGUAACGCGUGGAUAACCUACCUGAAUGACUGGGACAACACCGGGAAACUGGUGCUAAUACCGGAUACGCUCACCAUUGCGCAGGCAAAGGUGAGGAAAGGAGAAAUCCGCAUACAGAUGGGUCCGCGUCCCAUUAGCUAGUUGGCGGUGUAAGAGACCACCAAGGCGACGAUGGGUAGCCGGCCUGAGAGGGUGGACGGCCACACUGGAACUGAGACACGGUCCAGACUCCUACGGGAGGCAGCAGUGGGGAAUCUUCCGCAAUGGGCGAAAGCCUGACGGAGCAACGCCGCGUGAGUGAGGAAGGCCUUCGGGUCGUAAAACUCUGUCUUCAGGGAAGAAAAAAAUGACGGUACCUGAGGAGGAAGCCCCGGCUAACUACGUGCCAGCAGCCGCGGUAAAACGUAGGGGGCGAGCGUUGUCCGGAAUUACUGGGCGUAAAGGGCGCGUAGGCGGUUAUUUAAGUCAGAGGUGAAAACUACCGGCUCAACCGGUAGCCUGCCUUUGAAACUGGAUGACUUGAGGGCAGGA
rnacentral:rRNA from 1 species